CAGUAGCCGCGGUAAUGCGUAGGGUGCAAGCGUUAAUCGGAAUUACUGGGCGUAAAGCGUGCGCAGGCGGUUUGUUAAGACAGAUGUGAAAUCCCCAGGCUCAACCUGGGAACUGCAUUUGUGACUGGCAAGCUAGAGUGUGGCAGAGGGGGGUGGAAUUCCGCGUGUAGCAGUGAAAUGCGUAGAUAUGCGGAGGAACACCGAUGGCGAAGGCAGCCCCCUGGGCCAACACUGACGCUCAUGCACGAAAGCGUGGGGAGCAAACAGGAUUAGAUACCCGGGUAGUCCCUGUCUCUUAUAC
rnacentral:rRNA from 1 species